rnacentral:rRNA from 1 species
CAAGGAAUUUUCCGCAAUGGGCGAAAGCCUGACGGAGCAACGCCGCGUGCAGGAGGACGGCCUUCGGGUUGUAAACUGCUUUUACCGGGGACGAAACGGACGGUACCCGGCGAAUAAGCCCCGGCUAACUCCGUGCCAGCAGCCGCGGUAAGACGGAGGGGGCAAGCGUUGUCCGGACUCACUGGGCGUAAAGAGCACGUAGGCGGCAGGAUGCGUCGGCGCUGAAAGCGCCCGGCUUAACCGGGCGAGGUGCGUCGAUACGAUCCCGCUCGAGGCAGUCAGAGGUUAGCGGAAUUCCGGGUGUAGUUGUGAAAUGCGUAGAUAUCCGGAGGAACAUCUGUGGCGAAGGCGGCUAACUGGGACUGACCUGACGCUGAGGUGCGAAAGCGUGGGGAGCGAACC